GAGACAGAGAGAGACAGAGAGUGAGAGAGAGAGGCACACUGCUGCUAUCACACACACACAUACACAGACACACACACAGACUCGCGCGCGCCCAUGAGACUAUAUUUGGGAGUGAUUGCAGAGUGAAACAGUUGGUGACGGAGCUGCUGGAUGUUUCUGACACCGGUAACAACUAGCAGGACUUUCCAAUAUAAGCAUAACAAAAGAUGGAGGUGGAAAUGCCUUGAAGUCGUGUGGGGUUAUGGGAGUGGAACACCACUGCUGUCCCUGCAGUCAGCUCCUCCCAGUUAGGAUUCUCUCAGUGUUCAUCGUUCCUGCAAAGGUCUCCUCCUCUCCAAAAGAAACGGACCCGGUGAUUAAAACCGAUGAGAACAUUUAUAGCUCAGUGAAUGUUCCAACCAACAGAAUAAUCAGAAUAACCAGUCAGAGCAGUGGAAGUCAAGCGGUGACUCAGCAGCUUUCAGUCUCUGACAGCUUCAGGCAUCAACAUGUUUCACAUUUCACUGCAUCACAACUCGACAAAAACUCUCUGAUGAGACAAACAGCCUGAAACCCAGCAGGACACAUAUUCAGAGGAGUUUCUGCAGCUUUGAAGCUCAAGGUGGAGACUGGAGAGAAAGCUUUACAUUUGUAACUGCAGAUAAACCGUCCUUGGUGGUUUAAGAGACAUCUGCUGAAUCAAACAACAGCAAUGCUUUUCUUCCUUUUUUAUCAUAACAACCUAAUGUAACACUUCUCUUUUAACAAUAAGAAUAAAUAAACAAAAAUAUGAAAGUAAAUUGUGCAUCACAAUUAUUUAAACAGUGGUGACGGGGUUGGAUCAGAUCCCCGAAAGAAAUAUUAGCUUUUCAAAAAGCAUCAUCAUUUUUGGAACCUCUGUUUUUCACUGUAUAAAUGUUUUCUUAUAUAUUUCCACAAAAAAGCCGACUCUUCAAUUUAACUCCUUCGAGGACGUCCUAUCUCCAGAAUCCUGUCCAAUCAGCGAGCUAACGUUUGGCAGGCCGGCUGCGAAGUUAGUUGCCUCGCAAAUCAGUUACGAGCAUUACGCCAACAGUACAAUCCUACUUUUAGCUCAUUUAAAGUUUGGCUGGAAUCAGUGGACCAAGCAGGUUCAUUCAACAUACGUUCAUAUGACGCUAGCCUUCCUUUCCUAUGUUCUUCUUUCAGUCCAUCAUCGCAGUUAAGCUGAAUGGUUUCAGUCAGACUCCUGUGUGCAUUGACAGACUGUGAUUGACAAUCAGUGACAAGUUCGACUGAACUCAAUCGGUGGUCCAAAAAUGUGUCAUUCAUUUAUUACUGGUUUGCAUAGUGAAAUAGUGAAAUGAUCAUAAAUAUAAGCUGCUUAAAUAUAAUCACCUGAUUGCAGGGACUUUAUGAUGAUAGGUUUGUUUUUAUUUUUACAAAAAUAUAAUUUAAUGAGGGGGAUACAUUUACUUCUUUGCUCAGGCUCCUAUCAUGUCCACUGGGCUUUGGCAUUUUUAUUGUUUCUUGGCGGAGAGCGAUUUGAAAAAACAACGGUGAAUAAUCUUUCUGUUGUUUCAGGCUGAAUAUUCUGUGUAUUCCUUAAAAUGUAUUAAUAGUACAUUUUGUAUGUGCGUGCAUGUAUACAGUACCCUGUGUGUGUGUGUGUGCGUGUGUGUGUGUGCGUGUGCGUGUGUAUGUGUGUGCGUGCGUGUGUGUGUGUGCGUGCGUGUGUGUGUGUGCGUGUGUGUGUGUGUGUGCGUGUGUGUGUGCGUGUGUGUGUGUGUGUGUGUGUGUGUGUAAAUCUGAAUGUAAGCUGAAUGUCUAUACGUUCUCAGGACCUCAGUGUGUGUUGUCUGUGUAGAAAUGCAGUGACCGGUACUAACGACCUCCUCAAUGAUAUUAACGAGAUCAUUUAUGUUUCCAACACAAAGAGAGAAGAAGACAGACUCGCAGUGGAAAAGUCAACCAGUCUCUCUGCUGGUGUCAGUGGAGGAAUGUGACUAAGAACUGUUAGUACUGCACUAAAGUACACUUUUAGGUAUUUGUAUUUUACUUGACAAUUUCCAUUCUAUGUUACUUUAUACUUCUUCUCCACUACGUCUCAGAGGUAAAUCUUGUACUUUUCACUCCACUACAUUUGUCUGACAGCUUUAGUUACUUUACAGAUUACAGUUAUUCCUCCACUUCCUGUCCAGUGAAACCAUGUAUCUCCAGAUGUGUUGAUGUUUAAUGUUUGUGAUAAACUGAAGGAUGAAGUGUUUCUUUAUGUGUUGAGAACAUUCUCCUACUUCUUAAGAUAAUAAACUCUUUAAAAAUCCUCUUGUCACAAAGCUGAAAACUGUUUUUCUAAGGAACUCAUGAAAAGUUGAUAGAUACGUGUUUCUCACUGAACAGAGACAAAGAUACCAACAUGAUGAUCUUAUAGAAUAUGAUGCAUUGUGUACAUUAGACUACCAGACAGGAUAUGAAGGAGGUAAAAUGAGCAGAA
rnacentral:lncRNA from 1 species